UACGUAGGGUCCGAGCGUUGUCCGGAAUUAUUGGGCGUAAAGGGCUCGUAGGCGGUUUGUCGCGUCGGGAGUGAAAACAUCUGGCUUAACUGGGUGCUUGCUUUCGAUACGGGCAGACUGGAGGUAUGCAGGGGAGAACGGAAUUCCUGGUGUAGCGGUGAAAUGCGUAGAGAUCGGGAGGAACACCAGAGGCGACGGCGGCGAACUGGACAGUCACUGACACUCAACUGCGAAAGCGUGGGGAGCAAACAGG
rnacentral:rRNA from 1 species